rnacentral:rRNA from 1 species
UACCAGACUCCUACGGGAGGCAGCAGUGGGGAAUAUUGCACAAUGGGGGAAACCCUGAUGCAGCGACGCCGCGUGAGCGAUGAAGUAUUUCGGUAUGUAAAGCUCUGUCAGCAGGGAAGAAAAUGACGGUACCUGACUAAGAAGCCCCGGCUAACUACGUGCCAGCAGCCGCGGUAAUACGUAGGGGGCAAGCGUUAUCCGGAUUUACUGGGUGUAAAGGGAGCGUAGACGGCUGUGCAAGCCAGAUGUGAAAGCCCGGGGCUCAACCCCGGGACUGCUCUUGGAACUGCGUGGCUAGAGUGCAGGAGGGGCAGGCGGAAUUCCUGGUGUAGCGGUGAAAUGCGUAGAUAUCAGGAGGAACACCGGCGGCGAAGGCGGCCUGCUGGACCGCGACUGACGUUGAGGCUCGAAAGCGUGGGGAGCGAACAGGAUUAGAUACCCCAGUA